rnacentral:rRNA from 1 species
GAUACCCCACGAUUAAUCCUACCCGCCCUAGCCUAACAGUCUAUAUACCGCCGUCGCCAGCUCACCCCCUGAGGGAAACAAAGUGAGCCAAAUAGCUAUACGCUAACACGACAGGUCGAGGUGUAACUUAUGAGCGGGCCUAUGAUGGGCUACAUUUUCUACUACAGAAAAUACGAAUAAACUAUGUAAUAAGAAACUGAAGGCGGAUUUAGCAGUAUACUAAGAAUAAAACACUUAGUCGAAACCAACGCAAUGAGAUGCGUACACACCGCCCGUCAUCCCUGUCAAUCUAACUAAAAAAUUCAUAAUAUAUCAACCCUACUUCAAAACAGGGCAAGUCGUAACAUGG